UCCUCUAUGGAUCUGCCCUCUUUGGGUACGACGGCUUCCGCUAAGGUUCAACUUCAGGUCUGGGUGGGGGAGGAGCAGCAGGGAGCUGCAGAUCAGGAGGUGGUGGAGGAUGAUGGGAGAGGCUGCCAGGAAGUGAGAAGUCACUGGUGCAACGGGCUAGAGAGGGCUUAAUAUCGGGAAGAAGGGUAACAGAGAGGAAGUCAGAAGGUGGAAGGCCCUGGGGUCCUCUUAGGUAUCCAAUGGGACAGAUGUUGAAGGACAGGGAUGAGCUCUGGCCCAGUCUCACAAGAGAGGCCUACAGCAGCUCACUUACUCAGCAGGAAGGUUAUGCUGGAUUGUCUGAUUGGACUCAAUGUAAUCACAAAGGUGGAAGAGUGAGGCAGAAGAGAGAGAACCAGAGAGAUGGCAGCAUGAGAUGGACUUGGCUCGACAUUGUUGGCUUUGAAGAUGGAGCGAGCGCUGAGGAAAGCGGCUUCUAGCAGCUGAGAAAGGCAAGGAAGCAAAAGCUUCUCUAGAGCCUCUAGAAAGGAAUGCAGCCCUGCAGACACCUUGGUUUUAGCCCAGUGGGACCCAAGUUGGAUUUCUAUUUGACAGAACUAUAAGAUAAUAAAUUUGCUGUUUUAAGCCGUUAAGUUUGUGGUAAUUUGUUACGGCAGCAAGAGGAAACAAAAGCACCAGGACACCUAGAGAGUCCAUGUUGUAGGUGAGACUCCACUUUACUGCUGGAAUCAACCUCCAGACGACAUGUGAGAUGAUUCCAGUCGCUCCAGGCUUUGUGAGUUUCCCAGCCGAGGUCCCAGAGAAGAGCAGUACCCACUUCGCCUUGCCCAAAUUCCUGACUCACAAAA